rnacentral:rRNA from 1 species
AUUGAACGCUGGCGGCAGGCCUAACACAUGCAAGUCGAGCGGAUGAAGGGAGCUUGCUCCUGGAUUCAGCGGCGGACGGGUGAGUAAUGCCUAGGAAUCUGCCUGGUAGUGGGGGAUAACGUCCGGAAACGGGCGCUAAUACCGCAUACGUCCUGAGGGAGAAAGUGGGGGAUCUUCGGACCUCACGCUAUCAGAUGAGCCUAGGUCGGAUUAGCUAGUUGGUGGGGUAAAGGCCUACCAAGGCGACGAUCCGUAACUGGUCUGAGAGGAUGAUCAGUCAGACUGGAACUGAGACACGGUCCAGACUCCUACGGGAGGCAGCAGUGGGGAAUAUUGGACAAGGGGCGAAAGCCUGAUCCAGCCAUGCCGCGUGUGUGAAGAAGGUCUUCGGAUUGUAAAGCACUUUAAGUUGGGAGGAAGGGCAGUAAGUUAAUACCUUGCUGUUUUGACGUUACCAACAGAAUAAGCACCGGCUAACUUCGUG